rnacentral:rRNA from 1 species
AGCGCAGACGGUUAUUUAAGCAAGAUGUGGAAGCCCCGGGCUCAACCUGGGAACUGCGUUUUGAACUGGGUAACUAGAGUGUGUCAGAGGGGGUAGAAUUCCACGUGUAGCAGUGAAAUGCGUAGAGGUGUGGAGGAAUACCGAUGGCGAAGGCAGCCCCCUGGGAUAACACUGACGUUCAUGCUCGAAAGCGUGGGUAGCAAACA